rnacentral:rRNA from 2 species
UCUAGUGAUUAUGCUCUUUAAGGUAACACCCGUUUCCAUUCCGAACACGAAGGUUAAGCUUUUAGAGGCCGAUAGUACUGCAUAGGGAACUGUGUGGGAGGGUAGGUGAUUGCUAGGU